AAGAGACACGAUAGCCUUUUCAGCUACAGAGAGCCAAACAGAAAAAACAAAGCAGACAAAGAUUAAACCUGUCACUUAACUAUCCAAAUAACAUUGCCCCAACGUGUUUAACCGGCUGUCAUUAGGCUGUGUAUAGCCAGAGGGCAAUAAAAAAAA